rnacentral:rRNA from 1 species
GAUGAACGCUGGCGGCGUGCUUAACACAUGCAAGUCGAACGGAAAGGCUCCUGCUUGCAGGGGUACUCGAGUGGCGAACGGGUGAGUAACACGUGGGUGAUCUGCCCUGCACUUCGGGAUAAGCCUGGGAAACUGGGUCUAAUACCGGAUAGGACGAUGGUUUGGAUGCCAUUGUGGAAAGUUUUUCGGUGUGGGAUUGGCUCGCGGCCUAUCAGCUUGUUGGUGGGGUAAUGGCCUACCAAGGCGUCGACGGGUAGCCGGCCUGAGAGGGUGUACGGCCAAAUUGGGACUGAGAUACGGCCCAGACGCCUACGGGAGGCAGCAGUGGGGAAUAUUGAACAAUGGGCGCAAGCCUGAUGCAGCGACGCGGCGUGGGGGAUGACGGCCUUCGGGUUGUAAACUCCUUUCGCUAGGGACGAAGCGAAAGUGACGGUACCUGGAGAAGAAGCACCGGCUAACUACGUG